GAACUUCAAAUGUCAUAUAGAGAGUUUGAUCAGGAUCUCACGGAUUCCACAAGGAAGUUUACAAAGAUGUAUAAAGGUAAGAGCUGGGUCAAAGGAUUGUCUCCUAAAUUUCUUGCUUCGGCUGCAGAAAAAGCGGUGUCACAGGGCCAUCCGGUUGCAACGGCGAAAAAAGGACCCUGGGUGAUGACCUUGGAUGCACCAAGCUAAUCGGACGUAAUGGGUAAUGCCCAAAGAAGAGAAUUACGCAAGAACAUGUUUGUUGAGAAUGUUAAGCGGGCCUUUAGCGGAGAUACCGACAACACUGCAGUCAUUGAUAGAAUCUUCAAGCUUAGAUCGCGAAAAGCAAAGCUUCUAGGUUACGACGAUUAUGUUGAGGUCAGCAUGGAAACGAAAAUGGCUACCUAUGGUACAGCGAUGGAGCUCCUGGAAAAACUUAUGAGGGCUUCGCGGGGUGCUGCAGAUCA